UGCUAAAUUACUACCAUAUAAACGUUUUGAAUAUUAGGCAUCUGAUGUUUAGGUGUUGUGUGUUCAGGACAUAGUCACAGUGUGGAAUGGGAAGCAGGUCACUGUGUACGAAUCCUCAGGGACGACUCUACGCAACACGGGGAUAUUUCCCGUGUGAGUCCCAGGUCUUAGCUGUGCUGUGAAUAUCUACACUGUGGAGCCCAAUAGGGUCCAGGUCCACACACCUCAGGGCACAGUGAAGCAACUGCUAGCGACAGGGCAACCUUGUGCCGCUCGGUGGGUGUCAGGGCUACCUGGUGGUUGGAACAGACACAUUUAACCUUUAUUUAACGAGGACAAUGAUCAAGGUAUUUGACCUCACCCGCAGGUAUACACACAGCAUAUAAAAUCCCUAUUACCUCCAGUCAAUU
rnacentral:lncRNA from 1 species